UUAGGCCUGUGUGGCUGCUGGCAGCGCGGGGCCGGGAAGCCUCAGGGGGACCUGGGCCUGGGGCGGCUGACCCUGCGGGGAGGAGCCCGGCAGGCGGUCUCGGAGGGCAGCCCCGCGGGGGACGUGCUCAUGCGGGGAGUCGGUCAGCUUCUGCGGGAAAGAUGGGACGUGCGGGGCGCGGGGCGCGAGCUGGGGGCCGGCCUUGCUCAGGCUCCCGGUCCUCCGGGCAUCGGCCUCCCCGCUCUGCCUGCACCAGCGGCUCAGGGCGGCGCCUUCCGAGUCGGGGUUUGUUUCUGAGAAAGACGCCCUUUCCCAGGCCGCCCGCCCGCCCUGCAGAGGGCGCGUGAGCCCGCGUGCCUCUGCCCUGUGUGGCCCACGCUCGGGAUGCUGCCCCAGGACUUCCGGGGCCCAACUCCUCCGGUGUCGGUCCGGGACCCUCCUCAGCCACAGGGUUCGGCUCAGAAUGUCCCCGAGUUGUAGUAAAAGCCACGGACCCCGACCCCCGGCAGCCAGUCAGGCGUCCGCUGGACGGGGCACCGGAGGUCGUUGUCCGCUUCCCCCGUCAGCCUUCCCCGCCGCGGGAAGGGCGCCGGGAAGGACGCGCUGCAGAGGCCUCAUCACAGUGCCCCGGGCUCAUCACGGAGCCUCGGGCUCAGAGCGAGGAGCUCUCUGCACGCGGGUCCAUGAGGCUCCAGGUCUGGGGUUUCAGCAGCGUCCCCGUGGGGCCCAGAGUGGGUCACGCCCCUGGGGUGCGUCCCUGAGCUGCUCUCGAGUCAUUUAUCCAUCAGACACCUGCAGAUCUGCGUGCAAGUCCCAUCGGAACCAAUGUGCGAGCUUAACAACUUCAGCACCAUGAACGGCAUUGCUCGUUUUAAAUGCUCCACUGAUGAUAGUUUAUAUUGAAGACAUCAAAUACGUUCAGAAUUUCAGAAUAUCCCUUGUCUGGGCGCUGGCCUCUGUGAAGUUGUUCCCUCCUGCCCAUCUGCGCCUUUCUCUGGAGGCUUCUAGCAUUUAGUGUUUGCCCUUCAGCAAUGACGCGUGUAUAUCACACUCUAACCCAGCCCUGGGCAAACUACGGCCUGCGGGCCGGAUCCGGCCCCUUCGGCUGUUCUAUCCGGCCUGCGGAGGGUUCUCUUGCUCUCCCCUCUGCUCCUUCACCAGCAGCAGUGUUAACAUGGCAACGUCGGGAAACAGGGCCGCAGCUCCUUCUUCUGAGUGGGCGGAUAUAGAAGGAACAACCUCUCAAUCUUCCAGAGGCUCCUUGUAAUGCCCGCGGACGCGUCUCCCGACAUCACCCUGGGAAUGCGUAGACACGUUAUCGUGGUGAUGCAGGGAGGCACGCCCCUGGAGAGCACAGUGUCAGAGCCUUUCUGAGUAAAGAAUUUAAUAAGAGAACGGUACUGUUGGUUUUAGCCCAAUAUUAAACAUGAGUGGACCAAAGAAAAGGAAAGUGGACAGUGAAUGCCGAGUGUUUAAGAGGGAGUGGACAACAAAAUAUUUUUUCACCGAAGUCCGAUCAAUGCCGGUAUGUCUGAUAUGCCAGGAAACACUUGCAGUCUUCAAAGAGUACAAUCUCAGCCAUCACUUUGCCACAAAGCAUGGCAACUAUGCUAGCAAGCAGCCACCUCAAGAACGGGAGGCUACUGCACAGAGGUUGAUGGCUAAAUUACAGGCUCAGCAAAAUGUCUUUCACAGACAAACUGCAAUUCAAGAGACAACUACCAAAGCAAGUUUUAUGCUAUCAUUCAAAUUAGCAAAAGCUAGCAGACCUCUCUCUGAAGGCGAGUUUUUGAAAGAAUGUAUGAUAGAGACAGCAGGUCUCUUGUGUCCAGAGAGCAAAGGCAAGUUUGAAAAACUCAGCUAAUCGCGCAGGACAGUGACUCGUCGAGUGGAACUGAUUGAUGAAGACUUGGCCAGCAAGUUAAAUAGUAAGGCAGAGUUCCUUAAGUUUUAUUCACUAGCAUUGGAUGAAAGUAAUGACGUAAAGGACACUGCUCAGCUCUUAAUUUUUAUCCGAGGGAUUAGUGACAAUUUUGAAAUUACGGAGGAGUUUUUAGCCAUGGAGCCACUGAAAGGAAAAACACGGGGAGAGGACUUGUAUGACCGGGUGUCUACUGUCAUCGAGAAAAUUAAGCUACCAUGGAGUAAACUUGCUAAUGUCACGACAGAUGGAUCUCCAAAUUUAACUGGAAAAAAUGUUGGACUGCUAAAAAGAAUUCAGGAUAAAGUGAAAGAGGAGAACCCUAACCAAGAUGUUAUUUUUCUUCACUGUAUUAUUCACCAGGAAUCAUUGUGCAAGUCUAUAUUACAACUUAAUCAUGUUGUUAAUCCAGUCGUAAAGCUUGUUAAUUUCAUUCGAGCAAAGGGACUUCAGCACCGUUAGUUUAUUAAGUUUCUGGAGGAAACUGAUGCAGAUCACCAUGACUUACUUUACCACUCUCGUGUCCACUGGUUGAGUUUGGGCAAAGUUUUCCAACGAGUGUGGGAGCUCAAAGAAGAGAUUGGUGCAUUUUUGAAAUUAAAGGGGAAGUCUGACGAAUUUACUGAGCUGAGUGACAAGAAUUGGCUGUGUGACUUUGCAUUUGCUGUAGAUAUAUUUUCACAUUUGAAUGAGCUAAAUGUGAAGCCACAGGGAAAAGAUCAGUAUGUACAUGACAUGUACACUAAUGUGAAAGCCUUUAAAUCGAAGCUGAUUUUCUUUUCCAGACAAAUUUCAGACAAAGUCUUCACUCAUUUUGCCACACUAGCCACACAGAAGGAGACCAUCCAAAACGUGAAGAAAUACAGCAAGUCACUGGAUGACCUGCAUGCAGAAUUCUGUCAUCGGUUUUCUGAUGUUGAAAAAAUUGACCAGUCACUUCAACUGGUGGCCUGUCCUUUGUCACAAAACCCUGAAACAGCACCAGAAGAGGUGCAACUGGAACUCAUCGAUCUUCAGUCUGACUUUGUCCUAAAGGAGAAAUUCAGCUCUCUUGAACUAAGAGACUUUUAUGCUUCACUUAAUGAAGCCACUUUUCCAAACAUCUGGAGGAUGGCACAGAAGAUACUGGUGCUGUUUGGGUCCACCCAUGUUUGUGAGCAGACAUUCAGCAUCAUGAACAUCAACAAAGCCCCUCACAGAUCCAGCUUAACUGACGAACGCCUCAGGUCUAUCCUGAGAAUAGCCACAACAAAACUAACUCCAGACUUUGAUGCGUUAGCUAAAAAAGGAUACCAACAACACUGUUCCCACUGAAGUUGAUGUUUUAAAGACCAAAAACCUUUCAACCCAGUCUACAUUUCCAUCUACAUCUACGUCCCGGGCAUAAUUUGGAAGUUGCACUAAAGAAAAUCUUUAAUUUACUGUUUACACAUUUUGUUCUUUUCUAUUUGUUUUAGUUUUAAAUUAUUUUAUUGUAUUUAAGUUUAAUUUGAAAGGCUUUUGUACCUUUCCUUUGUUAGGCAAUUUUAUUUUGCC